CCUACGGGUGGCAGCAGUGAGGAAUAUUGGUCAAUGGGCGGGAGCCUGAACCAGCCAAGUCGCGUGAGGGAAGACGGUUUUCGGAUUGUAAACCUCUGUCUUUGGGGACGAAUUGAGACGGUACCCAAGGAGGAAGCUCCGGCUAACUACGUUCCAGCAGCCGCGGUAAUACGUAGGGAGCAAGCGUUGUCCGGAAUUACUGGGUGUAAAGGGAGCGUAGGCGGGAUAGUAAGUUGAUUGUUAAAACUAUCGGCUCAACUGGUAGAUGCGAUCAAAACUGCAAUUCUUGAGUGAAGUAGAGGCAGGCGGAAUUCCUAGUGUAGCGGUGAAAUGCGUAGAUAUUAGGAGGAACACCAGUGGCGAAGGCGGCCUGCUGGGCUUUAACUGACGCUGAGGCUCGAAAGUGUGGGUAGCAAACAGGAUUAGAUACCCGGGUAGUC
rnacentral:rRNA from 1 species